AUUGAACGCUGGCGGCAUGCCUUACACAUGCAAGUCGAACGGCAGCACGGGAGCAAUCCUGGUGGCGAGUGGCGAACGGGUGAGUAAUAUAUCGGAACGUGCCCGGUCGUGGGGAUAACGUAGCGAAAGCUACGCUAAUACCGCAUACGAUCUACGGAUGAAAGCGGGGGAUCGCAAGACCUCGCGCGAUUGGAGCGGCCGAUAUCAGAUUAGGUAGUUGGUGAGGUAAAGGCUCACCAAGCCGACGAUCUGUAGCUGGUCUGAGAGGACGACCAGCCACACUGGGACUGAGACACGGCCCAGACUCCUACGGGAGGCAGCAGUGGGGAAUUUUGGACAAUGGGCGCAAGCCUGAUCCAGCAAUGCCGCGUGCAGGAU
rnacentral:rRNA from 1 species